GACGAACGCUGGCGGCGUGCCUAAUACAUGCAAGUCGAGCGGACGUUGUUGGAGCUUGCUCCAACAAUGUUAGCGGCGGACGGGUGAGUAACACGUGGGCAACCUGCCUUAACGACUGGGAUAACUCCGGGAAACCGGGGCUAAUACCGAUAACAUCUAGCACCUCCUGGUGCAAGAUUAAAAGAGGGCCUCUGGCUCUCACGUUAAGAUGGGCCCGCGGCGCAUUAGCUAGUUGGAGAGGUAAUGGCUCCCCAAGGCGACGAUGCGUAGCCGACCUGGGAGGGUGAUCGGCCACACUGGGACUGAGACACGGCCCAGACUCCUACGGGAGGCAGCAGUAGGGAAUCUUCCGCAAUGGACGAAAGUCUGACGGAGCAACGCCGCGUGAGUGAAGAAGGGUUUCGGCUCGUAAAGCUCUGUUAUGAGGGAAGAACACGUACCGUUCGAAUAGGGCGGUACCUUGACGGUACCUCAUCAGAAAGCCACGGCUAACUACGUGCCAGCCGCCGCAGUAAAAC
rnacentral:rRNA from 1 species